rnacentral:rRNA from 1 species
UACAGAGGGGGCAAGCGUUGUUCGGAAUUACUGGGCGUAAAGGGCGCGUAGGCGGCCUGCUAAGUCGAACGUGAAAUCCCCGGGCUCAACCCGGGAACUGCGUCCGAUACUGGCAGGCUUGAAUUCGGGAGAGGGAUGCGGAAUUCCAGGUGUAGCGGUGAAAUGCGUAGAUAUCGGAAGGAACGCCGGUGGCGAAAGCGGCGUGCUGGACCCCUUCUGACGCUGAGGCGCGAAAGCCAGGGGAGCAAACGGG